UCUCCAUCCAGAUCCAGUGGUGCCCUCCAGUCCUGCUCGACUCCGGCCACUGAUCCCCACCCUAAUCCCGCUGAGCCUUGCUUGACAUCAGCGCCGUAGCAGGAAGCCCUGUUUCAUUAAAUUGAAAGUGCUAGCUCCAUAUUCUGCAUAGUAGCUUGAGGUUUGCUGAAAUCAGGGAUUCAGAUGUUCGGGUUUGAGGUCAACUGUAGGGAUCGUGGUUGAGGCCAUUGAGGUCAUGAGGCAGACUGUUAAGAGACGGAGUAAAAGAUCAUCACCUGGCCUUGUUUGAUGUACUAUUACUGUUGUGCCCAACAGUUGUGAGAAGAUGUGGGUCUGUGUCGAAUAUGCUUGUGAGACUCC